CAGCCGCCACGGUAAUACGUAGGUCCCGAGCGUUGUCCGGAUUUAUUGGGCGUAAAGCGAGCGCAGGCGGUUAGAUAAGUCUGAAGUUAAAGGCUGUGGCUUAACCAUAGUACGCUUUGGAAACUGUUUAACUUGAGUGCAAGAGGGGAGAGUGGAAUUCCAUGUGUAGCGGUGAAAUGCGUAGAUAUAUGGAGGAACACCGGUGGCGAAAGCGGCUCUCUGGCUUGUAACUGACGCUGAGGCUCGAAAGCGUGGGGAGCAAACAGGAUUAGAUACCCCGGUAGUCCCUGUCUCUUAUACA
rnacentral:rRNA from 1 species